GACGAACGCUGGCGGCGUGCCUAAUACAUGCAAGUAGAACGCUGAAGGAGGAGCUUGCUUCUCUGGAUGAGUUGCGAACGGGUGAGUAACGCGUAGGUAACCUGCCCGGUAGCGGGGGAUAACUAUUGGAAACGAUAGCUAAUACCGCAUAAGAGUAGAUGUCGCAUGACAUUUGCUUAAAAGGUGCAAUUGCAUCACUACCAGAUGGACCUGCGUUGUAUUAGCUAGUUGGUGAGGUAACGGCUCACCAAGGCAACGAUACAUAGCCGACCUGAGAGGGUGAUCGGCCACACUGGGACUGAGACACGGCCCAGACUCCUACGGGAGGCAGCAGUAGGGAAUCUUCGGCAAUGGACGGAAGUCUGACCGAGCAACGCCGCGUGAGUGAAGAAGGUUUUCGGAUCGUAAAGCUCUGUUGUAAGAGAAGAACGAGUGUGAGAGUGGAAAGUUCACACUGUGACGGUAUCUUACCAGAAAGGGACGGCUAACUACG
rnacentral:rRNA from 1 species